rnacentral:misc_RNA from 1 species
UUUCCGUAGGUGAACCUGCGGAAGGAUCAUUAACGAAAGACAAGGGACGCUCUUCACUGAGGUUCCGACCCCUUUCCAUCCACAUACACCUGUGCACCUUUCGCGGGAGCGAGACCGGUUCGCCGGACCCUCUGCGACCGCUGAUCACUUUUUAGCACCAAAAGUUUAUCAGGAUGCUGUAACAAAUUUGAAAACUUAACAAAACUUUCAACAACGGAUCUCUUGGCUCUCGCAUCGAUGAAGAACGCAGC